rnacentral:rRNA from 1 species
UGGGGAAUAUUGCGCAAUGGGCGAAAGCCUGACGCAGCGACGCCGCGUGAGUGAUGAAGGCCUUCGGGUCGUAAAGCUCUGUGGAGAGGGACGAAACAGCUCCGACCCAACACGUCGGGGCCUUGACGGUACCUCUUUAGCAAGCACCGGCUAACUCUGUGCCAGCAGCCGCGGUAAGACAGAGGGUGCGAACGUUGUUCGGAAUUACUGGGCGUAAAGCGCGUGUAGGUGGCCCGGCAAGUCGGACGUGAAAGCCCCCGGCUCAACCGGGGAAGUGCAUCCGAAACUACCGGGCUCGAGUGUCGGAGAGGGAAGUGGAAUUCCCGGUGUAGAGGUGAAAUUCGUAGAUAUCGGGAGGAACACCAGUGGCGAAGGCGGCUUCCUGGACGAACACUGACACUGAGACGCGACAGCGUGGGGAGCAAACAGG